GACGUAGGGCGCGAGCGUUUGUCCGGAUUUAUUGGGCGUAAAGAGCUCGUAGGCGGCUUGUCGCGUCGACUGUGAAAUCUCAGGGCUCAACUCUGACAUUGCAGUCGAUACGGGCAGGCUAGAGUUCGGUAGGGGAGACUGGAAUUCCUGGUGUAGCGGUGAAAUGCGCAGAUAUCAGGAGGAACACCUGUGGCGAAAAGCGGCUCACUGGACCAUAACUACGUGAU
rnacentral:rRNA from 1 species